AGAGCGAACGCUGGCGGCAGGCCUAAAACAUGCAAGUCGAACGAGCCCUUCGGGGUUAGUGGCGGACGGGUGAGUAACACGUGGGAACGUGCCUUUUGGUUCGGAACAACUCAGGGAAACUUGAGCUAAUACCGAAUGUGCCCUUCGGGGGAAAGAUUUAUCGCCAUUAGAGCGGCCCGCGUCUGAUUAGCUAGUUGGUGAGGUAAAGGCUCACCAAGGCUUCGAUCAGUAGCUGGUCUGAGAGGAUGAUCAGCCUCACUGGGACUGAGACACGGCCCAGACUCCUACGGGAGGCAGCAGUGGGGAAUAUUGGACAAUGGGCGCAAGCCUGAUCCAGCCAUGCCGCGUGGAUGAUGAAGGCCCUAGGGUUGUAAAGUCCUUUCGACGGGGAAGAUAAUGACGGUACCCGUAGAAGAAGCCCCGGCUAACUUCGUGCCAGCAGCCGC
rnacentral:rRNA from 1 species